rnacentral:tRNA from 1 species
GGGACUGGUAGCGCAAUUGGAAGAGCACUAGCGACAUCAUCGCAGAGGUUGGGAGUUCGAGUCUCCCUCAGUUCCA